GUUAUCUCGCAAAAUAUUAAGACUGUACACAAAACACUUAACUACAAAAUCCUUAACCUCUGUAAAAUUAAAUUUACAGUUUGUUUUCAAAUACAUAUAAAACUGCUUGCAGUGUAUACGUUCUAUUUCUGUUUUACUAUUUUUAUUUAUUUAUUCUAUGGACAACAUUAUCUUGAACAGAACUGGAUCAACACUUUUUUUCAUUGAUUCAGACACUCCAAAUUUAAAUUCGUACAAAUCAGUGUAACUCCAUUCAUUACAAUAAAAUCGAAAUCAUAACAUGGUUAGCACGGUUAAACAAAAACAGUUAUUUGUAUACACCUAUUUAGCUAAUAUUCAAUCUAAACUAUUGCAUAUUUUCCAACUGGCCUCACCCGAUUUGAACACUCCCUCAUUCCAAUCAGGCGAAUGAGACUGAUAUUUUACAAACUGGAAAGAGAGUGAAGAUCGAGGAACUAGGUUAUUUGGAUCCAGAUUUAUAUAAGGUAUAUACAAGUUGUCAUAUUGAAUCAAAGCCAUCUUAUUCGAUUUUUGCGUCUUUAACAAAAGCUAUUUCUUUAAUAAUUAUCACAUAUAUAAAUAGUUUUCUAAAUAUUUACAGGAUGACAUGUUUUUGUGCAAAGCAUCGAUCAAGCAGUUUAACACGAGGUAUGAAUGGUCGUACACUACUUGCCAUACAUGUGCCAAACAAAUAUACAAGGAUCCAACAAGCGGUCAACUAAUUUGCCAAAAACAUCCAAAUCAAAUUCCAACUCCUUGGUAAUAACUUAAACGGUAUAUUUCAAUUCCACUAAUUAAUUGUUCCCUCGUGUCAUUCUUGCAUUAACAUUUACUGCUUAUUUAAUUUUUACACCUUUAACUUAAUCCCUUUUAACUGAUGAUCACUGGUUGGUUACGAAAAUACUAUCAAAAUUUAGUCAACCAAACAUCAAAUUGUAAGUGCAAUAAAAUCAUUGCAUUUAGUCAUGCAACCACAAAACUGACCACAGAUUCAUUCAAUUUUGAAAACCAAUUUUAUGCAGCUACCCUUUUGUUUAUCAUGUGCUUUGUGUUAAAUUAAAUUGCAACAUAGAAAAAUUUAUAUAGAUCCAGUUUUAAACUCAUUAAACAAUUUAUACUUUCUAAUAUGUACAUUUUGUUUUUAAAGGAAGGUACAAAGUGUUUUUAGUCAUUGAAGAUGAAACAAAUGAGAUCAACGCUUUUAUUAUUGGCAAAUCAAGGGAAAAAGUGUUCGGGACAACCUGUAAGGAUUUAGUCUUCAAUCAAAGAUCGGUGGAUCAAACGUAGUUGCUGAGUGAGUUUCUUAGACUCAUAGGCUAGAGAAAGAUUUUUUCACCUCCGAUUUGGAAGCAAAAGAAAUUCAUUGAUUUCAAAUGAUUUCUUGAUCUAUAACGUUUCUGAAGACACAAUGAUCCAGCAAGCAACUCCGCAGUCAAUUAGCCGAGAAAUCACAAUCUUCUCUACAACAGUUUCGUCUUCCACUACUCCUUCUGAAACAACUGGAGAAUCGCACAAAAGAAAAAGAUAAUCUAUCAGGAAAGCUCAUUUCACAACAGCUGAAAAAAGGUUGUAUUCUACGUAACAAUGUUUUUAUUCACCUAUCAAAUUACUCUCAAUCCAAUCUAAAUUUCAUUGUUUAUUGUUUUUAAUGUGUUUAAAGUAAUGAGGGAGAAUAAAUUUAUAAAGCAGAUAUGCAAGAUUUUGACCAGGUUCCAAUCAAGCUGCUGAAGAAAAAAAUCCUCCUCGACUAGCUCAAAAACAGACCCUCCUCUCCAGAAGAAAAACUAGUCGUUGCUCCAAGAAAAAAACAUUUGGUGCUGUACUGAACAAUAUUUUCAUCCAUUGUAUAAACAAGAAUAGUGUUCCUUCAUUUUUAUUUUUAUUUUUAUUUUUAUUUUUUGCGUGUGAAUAGCCCAUCGUAACAUCAAUUCCCCAUUUUUUUUGUGUAUAUAAACAAUCUCAUCUUUUGAAAUGUUUUAUCUGCAAGUGGCAGUGUUAAAGAAAAACUAGGAUAUUUGCUAAUGGGGAAUAGCAGGCUAACCAUUUUUGUAUGUAAAUAGCAAGACAUUUGAUAAUGUUCUUUCUAUAAAUUGUAUAAAUUUAGACAUUGCUCUCGCUCUGUAGUUUCCAUUUUGAUUUCUAU